UCAAGAUUGAGAAUGAGUGAGGAAGUUGGCAAAGCGCUUAUUUUGAUUUUCGAAGAACAAGCAGAAAUGCUGAAAAAUCAUGCGGCAAGAUUGCGCACUGUUCUUGGCAACCCCAA
rnacentral:ribozyme from 1 species